rnacentral:tRNA from 1 species
UGCAAUAUUAUGUAAUGGUAACAUUUAAGAUUCAUGAUCUUAAUAUGAUAGUUCGAUUCUAUCUAUUGCAC